rnacentral:misc_RNA from 1 species
GCAUUGUCGAUCUCCGAUCAUUAAUGGACAUGCUGUGUAGCAGAAAGAAUCUGUUUUGAUAAAGGAUAUUGUUGCUUUCACCGUUAUCCAAUCUGGCUUAUCAGCUCUGCCAAGUCCUUCAUCUUUAAUCUGAGACACAGUCUUCCGAAUCUCAUUCUUGGCAGAUCCUGGCAUGAUUUCUUUAGAAAUAGAUAGAGAAGU